GGGUAACGGGGUGUUAGGGCACGACACCGGAGAGGGAGCCUGAGAAACGGCUACCACAUCCAAGGAUGGCAGCAGGCGCGCAAAUUACCCAAUCCCGACACGGGGAGGUAGUGACAAUAAAUAACAAUACGGGGUUCUUUAGGAUCUCGUAAUUGGAAUGAGUACAAUUUAAAUCUCUUAACGAGGAACAAUUGGAGGGCAAGUCUGGUGCCAGCAGCCGCGGUAAUUCCAGCUCCAAUAGCGUAUAUUAAAGUUGUUGCAGUUAAAAAGCUCGUAGUUGAAUUUCGGGGUUAGUAGGUUGGUCAUGCCUCUGGUAUGUACUGGUCUCACUGAUUCCUCCUUCCUUAUGAACCGUAAUGCCAUUAAUUUGGUGUUGCGGGGAAUUUGGACUGUUACUUUGAAAAAAUUAGAGUGUUUAAAGCAAGCUAACGCUUGAAUACAUUAGCAUGGAACAAUGAAAUAGGACGUUCGAUCUUAUUUUGUUGGUUUCUAGGAUUGACGUAAUGAUUAAUAGGGAUAGUUGGGGGCAUUAGUAUUCAAUUGUCAGAGGUGAAAUUCUUGGAUUUAUUGAAGACUAACUACUGCGAAAGCAUUUGCCAAGGAUGUUUUCGUUUAAUCAAGAACGAAAGUUAGGGGAUCGAAGACGAUCAGAUACC
rnacentral:rRNA from 1 species